AAGCUUUGUUUCUAAGAUGCCAAA
rnacentral:siRNA from 1 species